UGGGGAAUUGUUCGCAAUGGGCGCAAGCCUGACGACGCAACGCCGCGUGGAGGAUGAAGAUCUUCGGGUCGUAAACUCCUGUCGAGCGGGACGAAUAGUUUCGGCGUGAACAUCGCCGGAGCCUGACGGUACCGCUAAAGGAAGCCCCGGCUAACUCCGUGCCAGCAGCCGCGGUAAUACGGGGGGGGCAAGCGUUGUUCGGAAUUACUGGGCGUAAAGGGCCCGUAGGCUGCCAACUAAGUCGGAUGUGAAAUCCCCAGGCUCAACCUGGGAACUGCAUCCGAUACUGGAUGGCUUGAAUUCGGGAGAGGGAUGCAGAAUUCCAGGUGUAGCGGUGAAAUGCGUAGAUAUCUGGAGGAAUACCGGUGGCGAAGGCGGCAUCCUGGACCGACAUUGACGCUGAACGGCGAAAGCUAGGGGAGCAAACGGGAUUAGAUACCCCGGUAGUCCUAGCCCUAAACGAUGAAUGCUUGGUGUGACGGGUAUCGAUCCCUGUCGUGCCGAAGCUAACGCAUUAAGCAUUCCGCCUGGGGAGUACGGUCGCAAGGCUGA
rnacentral:rRNA from 1 species